rnacentral:tRNA from 1 species
GCCUGGGUGGCUCAGUCAGUUAAGCUUUUGACUUCAGCUCAAGUCAUGAUCUCCAGGUCUGUGAGUUUGAGCCCCACCUUGGGCU